rnacentral:rRNA from 1 species
UACGUAGGGUGCAAGCGUUACUCGGAAUUACUGGGCGUAAAGCGUGCGUAGGUGGUUCGUUAAGUCUGAUGUGAAAGCCCUGGGCUCAACCUGGGAAUGGCAUUGGAAACUGGCGACCUAGAGUGCGGUAGAGGGUAGUGGAAUUCCCGGUGUAGCAGUGAAAUGCGUAGAGAUCGGGAGGAACAUCCGUGGCGAAGGCGACUACCUGGACCAGCACUGACACUGAGGCACGAAAGCGUGGGGAGCAAACAGG